CUGCGGGAGAAAGAUUUAUCGCAGGAUGGGCCCGCGUUGGAUUAGCUAGUUGGUGUGGUAAUGGCGCACCAAGGCGACGAUCCAUAGCUGGUCUGAGAGGAUGAUCAGCCACACUGGGACUGAGACACGGCCCAGACUCCUACGGGAGGCAGCAGUGGGGAAUAUUGGACAAUGGGGGCAACCCUGAUCCAGCCAUGCCGCGUGAGUGAAGAAGGCCUUAGGGUUGUAAAGCUCUUUUGGCGGGGACGAUAAUGACGGU
rnacentral:rRNA from 1 species